rnacentral:rRNA from 1 species
UACGUAGGGGUGCAAGCGUUUGUCCGGAAUUAUUGGGCGUAAAGAGCGUGUAGGCGGCCCGAUAGUCCGCUGUGAAAGUCCAGGGCUCAACCCUGGAAUGCCGGUGGAUACUGUCGGGCUAGAGUCCGGAAGAGGCGAGUGGAAUUCCUGGUGUAGCGGUGAAAUGCGCAGAUAUCAGGAGGAACACCGAUGGCGAAGGCAGCUCGCUGGGACGGUACUGACGCUGAGGCGCGAAAGCGUGGAGAGCAAACAGG